rnacentral:lncRNA from 1 species
GAGGGAGGAAUGAGAAGCGACUGCUAAUCGGCAUGAGGAACCUCAUGAGGUGAUGAAAACAUUCUGGAAUUAGCUAGUGGAGUGGGUGAAGCCAGGGCUGUGCCUCAGAAGGGGAGGGGAGGAGUCCUGUGGAGUUUCUGAACUUGAUGUGGAGCGAAAGUGCUGUGGUCAGCAAUCUUAGCUGGAAGAGUGACCUAGACAACCCUCACUGGGGGCUGGCCCCCUCAAGGCUGACCCCAGAAGGGGUGGGUCGAGGUCCUGAGUCCUGCGGGGCCAGCUCCUCAGCUGUGGGGGUCAUUUAUUUCUGCUGAGUUGGAUGGCAGGGCCUUUGAAGCGCUGGGCAGAACUGCAGCAGGUCCUCGUGGGAGGAGACCAGUGUGGCUCCAGCUCCAGGUGGUUCUUCCCAACACCUUCUUAAACAGCGGUCUGGGGUCGUGCGGCUCAUCUGUGUUGAUGUGGUGCUCCCAUGCGUGGCGACCACGAGUGGACAAGCGCUGCCCUCCUGCCUGGUGUGUGAGCAGAACGUCCAUCUGGGGCACCACUGAGAUGAAAGGAUUUCAGGCAGAGGAGCCGUGCACGUGCUCUCUCCGUUCUUUCCUGUGCAUGACUGGCCUCUCUGUUCAGAAGCGGAUUCCUGGUGCUCAUCACCCCUCCCUUACCCGAGGGAUGGCCAUCUUCCAUGUCACAUAGCGGAUGUGAACUCCACGGCGGCAAGGGCCACGCUGGGUCAUACUCACUGGUGAGGUCACAUUGCUCGGUGCACAGCAGGGACCAGAGGAUUUGGGCUGAAUGAGUGAAAACAAUGAGUGACAGUAGAAAUGAAUGAAUGAUUGAAUGAGUGAGAGAGAGAGUGGGUGGGUGAGUGAGUGAGUGAGUGAGUGGGUGAGUGAGUGAAGGAAGGAGGGAAUGAAAGCCUCGGUGAAUGAGUGAGGGAGUGCCUAAAGCCACAACAGCUGGGAUCCACUGAGGAGGAGACUUGAUUUCUGGUGGGCUCAGAGGCUGUCACAGCACAGGCCCUGGACGGUGGCAUGGAACGUGUCCAGCUGUCCUUCCAGCUCUGAGCCCCUGUCACCUGCAACACAGAGUCGCCUGGAUCUUCUUCAACUCCGCCUCAAGUAAUGCUGGAUAUUCCUGGGGGCAGGGCAGCAGGAGGGAACCUGAGGUCCACCCAGGAGGACCACUGUGACAGCCUGGCAGGUGGUUCCCAAUGCGCUCCGGGCACCAGGCAAGAGAUCCACAAGUCCUUCCUCAGCGGAGUCUCCCAAGAGCCCGUCAGGAGGCCCAGUCGUUUCCUCACUGCGCAGAUGGGGAAGCUGAGGCUCAGGGCCUCCCCUGCAGUUGCCAGCUAGAAACAGGCUGAGCAUCGACUAGGACCCCUGUCUCUCUGACCUUGGAUCAUUCUGACCAGUGUCCCACGUGGCAGCCUCCUGGAGCUCAGGGGUUCUGUCUUUCCUGGGGCCUGCACCAUUCCAGCCUCCAGCCCUCACUGAACUCGAGGCCCAGGGCCAUCCCCUCCGCCUGGGACUGGGCGUGGUGGCCAGGUUGGUCAGCCCUGGGCACUGUGGGCUCUCCCAGGACUGCGA